UCCGGUGGAGCCUCUACUGAAAAUGGCUCCCUCUUAGCUCUUCUGGGAAGUCAUUCCCAGAAUACCCCAAACUAUUCUCCCUCUUUUUAUUCUAUAGGAUUCCGCCUGAGAGAAGAUGGGUUCAUGGGGUCCGUCUCCUCCCCUUUUAUAGCUGCAAGCUCCCCCUCCUGUUUUCCUCACCUGGAUAGGUUCUUCCGAGUGGGAAGAUAAGGGCAAGUAACGGCUUCCUGUUCCGUGGAUGCAGGGGAAAGGAGUGAUCCGAACGCAUGGCUGCUGGCUCUGAUCCGAAGAGCUGGAUGAUGCGAAGAAGUUCGGAUGGAGUUGGAUCACGGACUACAUGGACGCGGAGCAGAGGAUUCGAGUUUACCCGUGGAUAGGCUAGGAGAAAUGCAGUUGUUUGGGAUGUUAUUCCAACUGGUCAUGGGAUAGGGAUGAAUGAGGAUGUGAUUCAUUGAAGCUUUGGAGAUGAAGACACGGAAUAGGAUGCUUGAUUUGCGAACGGGAUUGGCUGCUAGCUUUGUUCAGUUUGUGGAGUUGGUUGGGAUUUUGUGGGAGGACAGAACGGCCGGAUUUGGAUGGAAUUAAUCCCGAAACAGGGGAUGGAAGAUGAAUCGUGAUGGCUGGGGGCUUGGGAUGCUCACAGGAUGAGGAUGA
rnacentral:lncRNA from 1 species